CUUUUGUUAUGUUGGUGUAUAUCUGGUUAAAUAUUAUUGCUUAUAGCAUAAAUUUGUGUAAACUUUUCUAUUUAAGCCAAGUCUAUGUGCUGCUUAUAAAAGUUUUCAUGCGUUACAUUAAUAAUGUCAAAGUUGUUAAAUUUUAAUAAAUUUAGGACUCAAAAGUAAUAUAUUAUAAAUUUAGUUUGUUUAUGUGAAAUUGGUUUAGCUUGGGUACACACCGCCC
rnacentral:rRNA from 1 species